rnacentral:tRNA from 1 species
UGUUCUGUAGCUUAGUUGGUUAAAGCGCCGGUCUAGCGUACACGGAGUCGUGAGUUCGAGUCUCAGUAGAACGC